rnacentral:rRNA from 1 species
CGCGUAGGCGGUAUAUCAAGUCAAUUGUGAAAGACCCGGGCUCAACCCGGGAAGUGCAGUUGAAACUGGUAAACUUGAGUGCAGUAGAGGGAAGCGGAAUUCCUGGUGUAGCGGUGAAAUGCGUAGAGAUCAGGAGGAACACCGGUGGCGAAGGCGGCUUUCUGGGCUGCAACUGACGCUGAGGCGCGAAAGCGUGGGGAGCGAACA